GACGAACGCUGGCGGCGUGCUUAACACAUGCAAGUCGAACGGAAAGGCCCUGCUUUUGUGGGGUGCUCGAGUGGCGAACGGGUGAGUAACACGUGAGUAACCUGCCCUUGACUUUGGGAUAACUUCAGGAAACUGGGGCUAAUACCGGAUAGGAGCUCCUGCUGCAUGGUGGGGGUUGGAAAGUUUCGGCGGUUGGGGAUGGACUCGCGGCUUAUCAGCUUGUUGGUGGGGUAGUGGCUUACCAAGGCUUUGACGGGUAGCCGGCCUGAGAGGGUGACCGGCAACAUGGGGGCUAUGAGGCGGAGCAGACUACGAGGGGAGGCAGCGGGGAGGAAUAUAGCACAAGGGGCGGAAUCAUGAUGCAGCGCCGCGGCGGGCGGGAUGACGGCCGGGGGGUUGUAAACCGCUUCCGCCUGUGACGAAGGGUGAGUGACGGUAAUGGGUAAAGAAGCACCGACUAACGAC
rnacentral:rRNA from 1 species